rnacentral:rRNA from 1 species
UAGUCAAUGCUCGCAAGAGUGAACUAGCUAACUGAAAUCAUAUAUGUGUCAUAUGUGAUAAAAUAAGGGAAAAUAAUGAUAUUACCUUAUUAUUAGUGUUGUCCAAAACUGGUGCCAGAAGACUCGGUAAGGCCAGAGACGCGAACGUUAGUCGUCCUAAUCAGGCGUAAAGGGUUUGUAGGCUGCUUUAAAAGUCUUAUUUUUAAUAUAGCUAAAAUAAAGAUAAGAUCAAUUAAAGCUAGAAUCAAAUAGAGGGUAAACCAAAUAAUACUUAGAGUAGGGCCGAUAUCCAUAAAUACUAGGUGGAAUACUAAAGGUGAAAGCUUUUUAUCUACUAAUGAUUGACGCUGAGAAACGAAGGUGAGGAAAGGAAACAGGAUUAGAUACCCACAUACCCCUCUCUGUCAACGAUGAAUGGUGGCUUGCUAAUUGAAUAAAACAUUAAAAAGUUUAAUGUAAUUAUAAUAAAAAAUUGGUAGCGAUGUUAACACGAUAACCAUUCCGCCUUGUGAGUACGACUGCAAAGUGAAAACAA